GUGAAUCAUCGAAUCUUUGAACGCAAAUUGCGCUUUCUGGCAUUCCGGGAAGUAUGCCUGUUUGAGGGUCAGUAUUAUUAUAAAAUCGGUUUUGUUACAAAUUGUGUCGUUUCCGGAGUUUGUGCUAUCUUAACAUUUUUGGUUAAGAGGCUUAAAAUUGACGUUUUUUGAGCAUUUGUAAACGUACAUA
rnacentral:misc_RNA from 1 species